rnacentral:rRNA from 1 species
GUAUUGGGGGUCAGCAGCAGAUCCAUUUUCUGCCACCGAAUACAUUAGCAUGGGAUAAUGGAAUAGGACCCUGUCCUCCUAUUUUCAGUUGGUUUGCCGCGAGGACCAGGGUAAUGAUUAAUAGGGAUAGUUGGGGGCAUUAAUAUUUAAUUGUCAGAGGUGAAAUUCUUGGAUUUAUGAAAGAUUAACUUCUGCGAAAGCAUCUGCCAAGGAUGUUUUCAUUAAUCAAGAACGAAAGUUAGGGGAUCGAAGACGAUCAGAUACCGUCGUAGUCUUAACCAUAAACGAUGCCGACCAGCGAUUAGGAGACGUUGAAUACAAAACACCACCAUGCGCAUUGCGGUCGUCUUUGGUGUGUCGCUCACAAGGCGGCAUCAUCGGGACGGCUUAGCUCGCAUGGCACCGGUGAAUGACUCCCCUAGCAGCUUGUGAGA